rnacentral:ncRNA from 2 species
UGGUUGCAAAGUUAUAGCUUGCCAAAGUUGGGGUCUCUAAAGCGGCAUUUUUCAGUUGAAGCAGGUUCCCGGUGGCCACAGUGACCAAAUCCGGAUUUCUCCGGUGGUUAUGAAAACUAGACUUGAGCCCCUUUCAUUUGAGCCAAAGAGAUCCAAAAUCGGACAAGCCACUGAUUUUUGCGAGCUGUUCAAAGCUUGGGGUCAAAAAUGACCCCAGGGUCUUAUUUGUAACUUUUUUUAGGGACUAAGGAAGGUUAACAGAAUCAGUUGGGGGCAUUAGUAUUACGGCGCGAGAGGGGAAAUUCGUAGACCGUCGUAAGACUAACUAAAGCCAAAGCAUUUGCCAUGGAUGCUUUCAUUAAUCAAGAGCGAAAGUUAGAGGAUCGAAGGCGAUAAGAUACCGCCCUAGUUCUAACCGUAAACUAUGCCAAUUAGCAAUUGGGAGACGCUACAUUAUGGUGCUCUCAGUAGCUUCCGGGAAACUAAAAUUAGGUUCCG